ACGCUAGCUACAGGCUUAACACAUGCAAGUCGAGGGGCAGCGGGUUGAAAGCUUGCUUUCAAUGCCGGCGACCGGCGCACGGGUGCGUAACGCGUAUCAAACCUGCCUCAUACUCGGGGAUAGCCUUGCGAAAGUAAGAUUAAUACCCGAUGUUGUUGCUUUCUCGCAUGGGAGAGUAACCAAAGAUUUAUCGGUAUGAGAUGGUGAUGCGUCCGAUUAGGUAGUAGGCGGGGUAACGGCCCACCUAGCCUUCGAUCGGUAGGGGUUCUGAGAGGAAGGUCCCCCACACUGGAACUGAGACACGGUCCAGACUCCUACGGGAGGCAGCAGUGAGGAAUAUUGGUCAAUGGGCGAGAGCCUGAGCCAGCCAAGUAGCGUGCAGGAUGACGGCCCUCCGGGUUGUAAACUGCUUUUAGUUGGGAAUAAAAAAAGGGACUUGUCCCUUCUUGUAUGUACCUUCAGAAAAAGGACCGGCUAAUUCCGUGCCAGCAGCCGCGGUAAUACGGAAGGUCCAGGCGUUAUCCGGAUUUAUUGGGUUUAAAGGGAGCGUAGGCGGAGUGUUAAGUCAGCGGUUAAAGGGUGUGGCUCAACCAUGCAUUGCCGUUGAAACUGGCGAUCUUGAGUGCAGACAGGGAUGCCGGAAUUCGUGGUGUAGCGGUGAAAUGCUUAGAUAUCACGAAGAACUCCGAUCGCGAAGGCAGGUGUCCGGGCUGCAACUGACGCUGAGGCUCGAAAGUGUGGGUAUCAAACAGGAUUAGAUACCCUGGUAGUCCACACAGUAAACGAUGUAUACUCGCGGUUUGCGAUAGAUUGUAAGCCGCCAAGCGAAAGCAUUAAGUAUACCACCUGGGGAGUACGCCGGCAACGGUGAAACUCAAAGGAAUUGACGGGGGCCCGCACAAGCGGAGGAACAUGUGGUUUAAUUC
rnacentral:rRNA from 1 species